rnacentral:rRNA from 1 species
ACGGGAGGCAGCAGUGGGGAAUAUUGCACAAUGGGCGAAAGCCUGAUGCAGCGACGCCGCGUGAGUGAAGAAGUAUCUCGGUAUGUAAAGCUCUAUCAGCAGGGAAGAAAAUGACGGUACCUGACUAAGAAGCCCCGGCUAACUACGUGCCAGCAGCCGCGGUAAUACGUAGGGGGCAAGCGUUAUCCGGAUUUACUGGGUGUAAAGGGAGCGCAGGCGGUACGGCAAGUCUGAUGUGAAAGCCCGGGGCUCAACCCCGGUACUGCAUUGGAAACUGUCGAACUAGAGUGUCGGAGGGGUAAGUGGAAUUCCUAGUGUAGCGGUGAAAUGCGUAGAUAUUAGGAGGAACACCAGUGGCGAAGGCGGCUUACUGGACUGUAACUGACGUUGAGGCUCGAAAGCGUGGGGAGCAAACAGGAUUAGAUACCCUGGUA